rnacentral:rRNA from 1 species
CCACGUGUAGCGGUGAAAUGCGUAGAGAUGUGGAGGAACACCAGUGGCGAAGGCGACUCUCUGGUCUGUAACUGACGCUGAGGAGCGAAAGCGUGGGGAGCGAACAGGAUUAGAUACCCUGGUAGUCCACGCCGUAAACGAUGAGUGCUAAGUGUUAGGGGGUUUCCGCCCCUUAGUGCUGCAGCUAACGCAUUAAGCACUCCGCCUGGGGAGUACGGUCGCAAGACUGAAACUCAAAGGAAUUGACGGGGGCCCGCACAAGCGGUGGAGCAUGUGGUUUAAUUCGAAGCAACGCGAAGAACCUUACCAGGUCUUGACAUCCUCUGACAAUCCUAGAGAUAGGACGUCCCCUUCGGGGGCAGAGUGACAGGUGGUGCAUGGUUGUCGUCAGCUCGUGUCGUGAGAUGUUGGGUUAAGUCCCGCAACGAGCGCAACCCUUGAUCUUAGUUGCCAGCAUUCAGUUGGGCACUCUAAGGUGACUGCCGGUGACAAACCGGAGGAAGGUGGGGAUGACGUCAAAUCAUCAUGCCCCUUAUGACCUGGGCUACACACGUGCUACAAUGGACAGAACA